AUGAACGCUGGCGGCGUGCCUAAUACAUGCAAGUCGAGCGAACGGACGAGAAGCUUGCUUCUCUGAUGUUAGCGGCGGACGGGUGAGUAACACGUGGAUAACCUACCUAUAAGACUGGGAUAACUUCGGGAAACCGGAGCUAAUACCGGAUAAUAUUUUGAACCGCAUGGUUCAAAAGUGAAAGACGGUCUUGCUGUCACUUAUAGAUGGAUCCGCGCUGCAUUAGCUAGUUGGUAAGGUAACGGCUUACCAAGGCAACGAUGCAUAGCCGACCUGAGAGGGUGAUCGGCCACACUGGAACUGAGACACGGUCCAGACUCCUACGGGAGGCAGCAGUAGGGAAUCUUCCGCAAUGGGCGAAAGCCUGGCGGAGCAACGCCGCGUGAGUGAUGAAGGUCUUCGGAUCGUAAAACUCUGUUAUUAGGGAAGAACAUAUGUGUAAGUAACUGUGCACAUCUUGACGGUACCUAAUCAGAAAGCCACGGCUAACUACGUG
rnacentral:rRNA from 1 species